UACAGAGGUCUCAAGCGUUGUUCGGAUUCAUUGGGCGUAAAGGGUGCGUAGGCGGCGCGGUAAGUCGGGUGUGAAAUCUCGGAGCUUAACUCCGAAACUGCAUUCGAUACUGCCGUGCUUGAGGACUGGAGAGGAGACUGGAAUUUACGGUGUAGCGGUGAAAUGCGUAGAUAUCGUAAGGAAGACCAGUGGCGAAGGCGGGUCUCUGGACAGUUCCUGACGCUGAGACACGAAGGUCAGGGGGAGCAAACGGG
rnacentral:rRNA from 1 species